CGGGGGGGACGUGUCCCCUCCAAUAUUGGAGACAGUCGCAUUUGUCCCACCCAAAAAUUAUACCGCGGAGGAGACAAAUAUUUUAUUUUGAAAUAUUUAACUCGCAUGCUUUUAUUUUGAAAGCGCAAUACAGCGUCUUGCCACCGGCCCGCCCCCUCAACGGCAGACUGUUUGGGAAGCGCAGUCUGCAGCUGGCAGUGGCGACAGGUAGUCAGAAGUUAAGAUGAAAGGACAGCAGCAGCUCAGUUUAAGUGAUUUCUUUCUCAUGGGGAAGAAAAGAAAGAAGGGAAAUAGAUCAGAUGAAGUUCAGCUGGAAACUAACAGUGGUGAAACUGGUGAGGGUGAUGCAGGGAGAGCCAGCACUGCAGAGCUGCAGCUUGAUCCUGUACAAGGCUGGGUCCGUGUCGACACACUGCCUCCUCGUGGUGAGACUGCACUGGGUGACACUCGGUUACAGUGUGUAUGUAGCCUCGACACUGUAGAUUUUGUAGUGACUUGCAUGAUAUUUUGUAGUGACUUGCAUGAUAUUUUGUAGUGAUUUGCAUGAUACUUUGUAGUGAAUUGUGUAGAAAUAAGCGUGUAGUGCAUGUCCUUGUCAGUGCUGGGCCUUCUGUCUCCUCUUUCUGUCUCCCGCAGUCGUCUCCCGGAGUGGUGUGCGCGUGCCGACCCGACCUUCCUACUUUGAGGAGAAAACAGUGGCUGGAGCUGGACUACAGGAGAGGAUGGAUUGCUGAGACGAACCUGUGAUCGGAACCAAAGGCCUGUGAUGACAAAUUUCUCAUUGCUUCUUCUCCCUCUAUUGUAUUUUAAUUUUUUUAAAUUUUAAAGUGUGAACUAAGCUGCUGAAAUGAGUGUGGAUGGGGAAGUGGAGGAACUGUUUGCUCUGCAUGAGGAGGUACAGAGGUUACGGGUGGCUAAUGAACAACUCAGUCAAGGAAGAGGCGCCAGCUCUCAUACAGGUACUGCUUCUGCUACUACUAGUACUAAUGCUAAUGGGCUAACCCCUAGAGACAAUUUGGCUCCACAGAGUUUGCUUACAACACAAGCAGAACGUUUUGUGUACAUUCAAAGAGAGCGAAGGUGUCCUC